UUGGAUAUAGCUCAAUGGUAGAGCGCAGCCUUAGAUGCUGUUGUCGCGGGUUCGACUCCCGCUAUCCACU
rnacentral:tRNA from 1 species